rnacentral:rRNA from 1 species
AUUGAACGCUGGCGGCAGGCCUAACACAUGCAAGUCGAACGAGUGGCGGACGGGUGAGUAAUGUCUGGGAAACUGCCUGAUGGAGGGGGAUAACUACUGGAAACGGUAGCUAAUACCGCAUACCAUCAGAUGUGCCCAGAUGGGAUUAGCUUGUUGGUGGGGUAAAGGCUCACCAAGGCGACGAUCCCUAGCUGGUCUGAGAGGAUGACCAGCCACAAUGGAACUGAGAAACGGUCCAGACUCCUACGGGAGGCAGCAGUGGGGAAUAUUGCACAAUGGGCGCAAGCCUGAUGCAGCCAUGCCGCGUGUAUGAAGAAGGCAUUCGGGUUGUAAAGUACUGUCAGCGGGGAGGCGUUACCCGCAGAAGAAGCACCGGCUAACUCCGUGCCAGCAGCCGCGGUAAUUC